GAUCUCAUAAUGGCUUUCAAGAAUAUCAGGUAAGUGGAUACAAAUCGAUGGAUUAUAGGUGGAAGAAAUAAAGUAUUCCUUCAUUUGGCUAGGUGGUUCUUUAGGAUUUUUAGCCAUUUGCUUGUUAGGUUAAAUAUGGAUCAGUUGUUCAAUUUUAAGAUUGGGUUCAACUAGGUCAGAAAAAAAAAAUCUCUUAUCAUGUAUGUACCAGUGUAAAUCCUAAUAUGUGUGGUUUAGAAUUUUUUUUUUCAGGAAGAGGG
rnacentral:lncRNA from 1 species